AACCGGACGGCUGGAGAGAGCGAGAAGGGCAGACGGGACGUGCAGCCUCUUCCGCCUGGGGCCCGGAAGGGUGAUGUGGCUGCGGCCUCGCCGGCCUCGCUAUGGUGAACGGAAGAGUCCUUAUGUUGCAGUAUGCUGUAUAGUAAUGGCCUUCAGCAUCCUCUUCAUACAGUAGCUGGGGAAAAUGCCAGAAUUUAAUUGCGAUCAGAUUUCAUUGUGAACAAGGACUUACUACAGAAAAUAAUGGAAAGGAUGUUUAACUCUUUUAUCUCUGAACAUUGAAUGAGAUAAAUUUCCAGAUGCUGUUCUCUAUUUUAAUGUUAUUGGACCAAUGUUCUGUAUAAAUAAUUAAGAUGUAACCAUUUAAUAGUCUGUAACAAUCAACCUCAGUACUGUCACUACAAUAUUACAUUCUGCAAAUGUAUCAGAUACGAAAUUUUAGUGAGGUAUCUCUAAGGCACAUAGUAGAAAACAAAAUUGU
rnacentral:sRNA from 1 species